AUUGCUGCUGCUGUGGAGAAAUCAAGCAGAUGGGCCUUUGGAUGUUGGGGAGGAAAUGAAAAUCACUACACUGAAAUCACGUUUCGAAGUCAUCAGUAUUUCUUUGAGGGGUUGCAGUCAGCUUCAAGGUACUCUGUUUAAGGAAGUCUGAUUAUCGAAUCUGGAUGGAUUAGAGAGAGGUCUGAGUGUCCACUAGAUGCAACAGAGCUAAAUCAGAGCAUGAGAAGAUGAAUCUCAGGCAUUGAGGGGUCUCCC
rnacentral:lncRNA from 1 species